rnacentral:rRNA from 2 species
GAUGAGUGCUAAGUGUUAGAGGUUUCCGCCCUUUAGUGCUGAAGUUAACGCAUUAAGCACUCCGCUGGGGAGUACGGUCGCAAGACUGAAACUCAAAGGAAUUGACGGGGGCCCGCACAAGUGGUGGAGCAUGUGGUUUAAUUCGAAGCAACGCGAAGAACCUUACCAGGUCUUGACAUCCUCUGACAACCCUAGAGAUAGGGCUUUCCCUUCGGGGACAGAGUGACAGGUGGUGCAUGGUUGUCGUCAGCUCGUGUCGUGAGAUGUUGGGUUAAGUCCCGCAACGAGCGCAACCCUUGAUCUUAGUUGCCAGCAUUCAGUUGGGCACUCUAAGGUGACUGCCGGUGACAAACCGGAGGAAGGUGGGGAUGACGUCAAAUCAUCAUGCCCCUUAUGACCUGGGCUACACACGUGCUACAAUGGAUAGUACAAAGGGUUGCAAGACCGCGAGGUGGAGCUAAUCCCAUAAAACUAUUCUCAGUUCGGAUUGUAGGCUGCAACUCGCCUACAUGAAGCCGGAAUCACUAGUAAUCGCGGAUCAGCAUGCCGCGGUGAAUACGUUCCCGGGCCUUGUACACACCGCCCGUCACACCACGAGAGUUUGUAACACCCGAAGUCGGUGGGGUAACCUUUUAGGGGCCAGCCGCUA